UGAAUCAGGUGGAACCUGAGCAUUGUGAGGUUCCUGUUUCCUGGCUGGCAUUGGAGCUGGAGUCUGUGGUGGCUGGUUAGCAGUGGAAGUUGUAGAGCUGGAACUCAGCUGGAGGCCUCAGUGUCCAUCCUGCCCAAACCAUCUGGGAAGCCAGGCAGAGCCGUGUGUGCUUCAGUUAAGAGGCCUGCAGCAGCUUUGGAUUCCUCAUUGCAAAACUGGAGUAGUCCUGUUAGUCCCUUUUCGGCGUCUGAGUCCAUUCAAGUUGAAAGAAGUACUUACCGGAUACAAAAGUGGGUCAGAGUAACUUUGGGACAGGAGCCUUUUUAUAGAGCUGGGUCUUCUCAGGAUUGGGAGAGAAAGUCUACUUGCCGGGUUCCCUGCAGCCUGCCUAUGCACUCCCCAGCUGGAGUCCAGACCCACUGCCUCCUGUACCUGCGUUCACCUCCCUCUGUGCUGUCGAAGGAGAUUCCUGCCUUGACAAGAGGACUGUGGCCCUUCCUCGGAGCCCCCUCUGGACCCACUCUCCCAGUACCGCCCGGGAAAGAUGCGGCAGCUCAAGGGGAAGCCCAAGAAGGAGACGUCCAAGGACAAGAAGGAGCGGAAGCAGGCCAUGCAGGAGGCCCGGCAGCAGAUCACCACGGUGGUGCUGCCCACGCUGGCUGUGGUCGUGCUCCUGAUCGUGGUGUUCGUGUACGUGGCUACACGCCCCACUGUCGCCGAGUGAGUGCGCCGCCGGCUGUGGACACCAUGGGCAGGGAGAGGAGGCGCUGGAGGGGAAAGCGGUCGAAAAAUGGCUUUCUUCCUCGGAGCUGUCCAUGAUGCUGGGCUGUAAGCAGGAGCACCCUGUCUUCUCUAGUCUUUGACUUGAUUAAAGUUCUCCACUUUUCUUGGGAGGGAAUAGGGAACGUUUUUAUCAGUGAAUGUGCCAUAUACCUUAUGGUCCACUUCAUGUGCCUUUCAGACUUCAAAGCUGUGUAUGCGUGCGUGCGUGUGUGAGUGUGUAUGUGUUUCUUUUCUCUCCUGAAAUCAGUAGCUCCACCUGGUGAGAUAGGUGUCUCCGGGUCACAAAGCAGCUGGAAUCAGUACUCACCUCACCCCCAUUGUCUGGAACAUGACUCUUUCCUACACGUGUUCACAAUUUCCAAAGGGACUGUAUUUCUCCUCGUGCUCAAUGUGAUUUGAAAUAUGUUGACUCAAAGUGAAAUAUUUAUUUUUUGAAUAAAGGAGAUAAUAGCCUUAAA